GAACGCUAGCGGCAGGCUUAACACAUGCAAGUCGAGGGGCAGCACGGGUAGCAAUACCUGGUGGCGACCGGCGCAAGGGUGCGUAACGCGUGAGCAACAUGCCCUAUACAGGGGGAUAAUCCAGGGAAACUUGGUCUAAUAUCCCAUAGCAUUUAGAGGAGGCAUCUUCACUAAAUUAAAGCUUCGGUGGUAUAGGAUUGGCUCGCGUGACAUUAGCUAGAUGGUGAGGUAACGGCCCACCAUGGCUAUGAUGUCUAGGGGUUCUGAGAGGAAGACCCCCCACACUGGGACUGAGACACGGCCCAGACUCCUACGGGAGGCAGCAGUGAGGAAUAUUGGACAAUGGAUGGAAAUCUGAUCCAGCCAUGCCGCGUGCAGGAAGACGGCCCUAUGGGUUGUAAACUGCUUUUAUAUGGGAGCAAUAAGGUUUACGAGUAGACCGAUGAGAGUACCAUAUGAAUAAGCAUCGGCUAACUCCGUG
rnacentral:rRNA from 1 species